rnacentral:rRNA from 1 species
AGUGAACGCUGGCGGCAGGCCUAACACAUGCAAGUCGAGCGGCAGCGCGGGGGCAACCCUGGCGGCGAGCGGCGGACGGGUGAGGAAUUCGUCGGAAUCUGCCUUUUUGUGGGGGAUAACGUAGGGAAACUUACGCUAAUACCGCAUACGUCCUACGGGAGAAAGUGGGGGACCGCAAGGCCUCACGCAGAGAGAUGAGCCGACGACCGAUUAGCUAGUUGGUGGGGUAAAGGCCCACCAAGGCGACGAUCGGUAGCUGGUCUGAGAGGAUGAUCAGCCACACUGGGACUGAGACACGGCCCAGACUCCUACGGGAGGCAGCAGUGGGGAAUAUUGGACAAUGGGCGCAAGCCUGAUCCAGCCAUGCCGCGUGUGUGAAGAAGGCCUUCGGGUUGUAAAGCACUUUUGUCCGGAAAGAAAUCCCUGGAGCUAAUACCUUCGGGGGAUGACGGUACCGGAAGAAUAAGCACCGGCUAACUUCGUG